UACGGCAACAUCACGUUGAACCACCGGUUAUCGUAUGAUCACUGAAGUUAAGCAACGUUGAGCCUGGUCAGUACCUAGAUGGGUGACUGCUUGAGAAUAGCAGGUGUUGUAGG